rnacentral:rRNA from 1 species
UACGUAGGGUGCGAGCGUUGUCCGGAAUUACUGGGCGUAAAGAGCUUGUAGGUGGUUUGUCGCGUUGUUCGUGAAAUCUCACGGCUCAACUGUGAGCGUGCGGGCGAUACGGGCAGACUAGAGUACUGCAGGGGAGACUGGAAUUCCUGGUGUAGCGGUGAAAUGCGCAGAUAUCAGGAGGAACACCAGUGGCGAAGGCAGGCUCAUGGGACGAUAACUGACGCUGGAGAACGACGAAGCGUGGGGGAGCAAACAGG